AAAAGAAUUUAAGCCAAAGUUUUAAUUGUAUAAAAUAGUUAUUAUAUAAAAAAAUUAAAUAGUUAAAUAUAAAAGUAGAGAAAAUGAAAUAAUUUUAUUACUAUAGGAUAUCAGUACUGCAUAGGAAUUUUGAAAUAAGAAAGACACAAGAAAAAAGAACUUUUAAAUAAAGGUACCUUUUGUAUCAGGGACUACUAAAUUUUCCUUAAAUAAGGAUUUCUCGAAAAUAAAAGAUCUAGAUUUUUUUAUAAGUUAUUAUAUCAAAAAUAUUUGGAAAAGAAAUUUAGGAUUUAAAAGAAACCGAUUUUAUAGAUAUCUAGUUACUUACGAAAUAAAUUUAGUUUAGAAAAUUGAGAGUUUUUCUAAUGUUGAUUUACUUAUAUAUUUUUUUAAUUUUCAGGGGAUGAGCUCGGUAAAUAUAAAAUAAUUUAAUAUUUAGAAAGGUUAUUAUUAAGCUUAUAAAUAGCUAUAUUAUUGUGUUAUAAUAGAUAACUUUAAGAGAAAGAUUUUAUUUAAUUUUUAGAUUUAGUAAGUUUUUGCUUUAACUUUUAAAGCAAAGUAAUUAUGGUAGUAUUAGUAGAUAAAAUAUUAAAGAUUUUUAAAUGAAAUAUUCCUUCUUUUUUAUAAUAAAUAAAUACUUAUAAAAGAACUCGGCAAAGAUAAUUUCCGAAUGUUUAACAAAAACAUUUCCUCCUAUUUUAGGAGGUAAGGCCUGCUCACUGAAUUUUAAAGAGCCGCAGUAUUCUAACUGUGCUAAGGUAGCAUAAUCAUUAGUCUUUUAAUUGGAGACUGGUAUGAAUGGCUUACCGAGAAAUUAACUUUUUUUGUAAGUAGUAUUAAAAUUAAUUUUUUAGUUAAAAAGCUAAAAUUUUUUAAAAAGACGAGAAGACCCUAUAGAGUUUUAUAUAAUUUACUUCUUGAUUUAAUUAGUUUCUAUAAAAAUCGAGAAUAAAUUUUGUAUUUUGUUGGGGCGACAUUAAGAUAUAUAAAACUCUUAAUUUUAAGAACUAUUAUAAUAGAAUUACUGAUCCUUUAAAAAAGAUUAUAAGAAAAUUACCUUAGGGAUAACAGCGUAAUCUUUUUUGAGAGUUCUUAUCGACAAAAAGGUUUGCGACCUCGAUGUUGGACUAAAAUUUGCUCAAGGCGCAGCCGCUUUGAUUUAAGGUCUGUUCGACCUUUAAAAUUUUACACGAUCUGAGUUCAGACCGGCGUAAGCCAGGUUGGUUUCUAUCUUUUAUUAAUAUUUAAUUAGUUUAGUACGAAAGGAUUAACUAAUUGUAAAUUUUACUGAUUACAAAGAGGUUUAUUAAAAUAAACAAAUAAGUUUGACAGAUAAAUGUAUCAGGUUUAGAAUCUGCUCA
rnacentral:rRNA from 1 species